AAGAAUGAAGUAUAUUUUUACAUCUCAGUUACAUUGAGAAGACCCAUGAGAUUUGGCGUUCUUA
rnacentral:tRNA from 1 species